rnacentral:piRNA from 1 species
UCCUACUCCUGUGCCUUUUUAGGAAGGUUC